AACCUUUUUUUUGCCGUCAUGAGGCCAUAUAUAUUGUCUGUCAGCUUCGGCUGACUAUGGCGAUAAAUGGCCGUCGUAAUAAACCAUUCGGACCCGGGGGCGGUACCCGGCGCCUCCACCACAUGCCGCUGCAAGGCAAAUUUUUUUCCGGCGGCAUCUGAUGGGGGCGAAAUAGGAUCGACGAGGGUGUAAAGGGCAGUGCUUUCGCUCGGCAUGGUUCCGCCGUUAUCGGGCCACUAUAGUAGUUGCAAAUGACAACUAUGCGGAGGCUCGUCUCGCUGCGUAAGCGGUGCGACAGUCUCGAAAUUAAGUCCUGAUCUUUCGCAAGCUCAGGCGCGGUUCGGAGGGCACCGGGCAACAGAAGCCCUCCACU
rnacentral:tmRNA from 1 species